rnacentral:rRNA from 1 species
ACUCCUACGGGAGGCAGCAGUGGGGAAUAUUGCACAAUGGGCGCAAGCCUGAUGCAGCCAUGCCGCGUGUGUGAAGAAGGCCUUCGGGUUGUAAAGCACUUUCAGUUGUGAGGAAGGUGGUGUCGUUAAUAGCGGCAUCAUUUGACGUUAGCAACAGAAGAAGCACCGGCUAACUCCGUGCCAGCAGCCGCGGUAAUACGGAGGGUGCGAGCGUUAAUCGGAAUUACUGGGCGUAAAGCGCAUGCAGGUGGUUUGUUAAGUCAGAUGUGAAAGCCCGGGGCUCAACCUCGGAACUGCAUUUGAAACUGGCAGACUAGAGUACUGUAGAGGGGGUAGAAUUUCAGGUGUAGCGGUGAAAUGCGUAGAGAUCUGAAGGAAUACCAGUGGCGAAGGCGGCCCCCUGGACAAAGACUGACGCUCAGAUGCGAAAGCGUGGGGAGC